rnacentral:rRNA from 1 species
GACCGCCUAGAAAAACCUCUAGGGAGCCAUGUUGGUAUCCGUACCAAAACUGACACAGGUAGGUAAGGUGAGAAUCCUAAGGCGCUCGAGAGAACUGCUGUUAAGGAACUCGGCAAAAUGACCCCGUAACUUCGGGAGAAGGGGUGCUGAUCUCCGGAUCAGCCGCAGUGAAUAGGCCCAAACAACUGUUUAUCAAAAACACAGGUAUCUGCAAAACCGUAAGAUGACGUAUAGGUGCUGACACCUGCCCGGUGCUGGAA